GGCGGCGUUGCUGCUGGGCACAACGGUCGCGGCCUGGUACGCCGUGGGCGAGCACCGGGCCAAUCUGGUCUCUCACGAGAUGCUGGCGCGGGCGAACCUCUCCGCCGCCG
rnacentral:tRNA from 1 species